UACGUAGGGAGCAAGCGUUGUCCGGAAUCAUUGGGCGUAAAGCGCGCGUAGGCGGCUCGAUCAGUCUGUUGUGAAAGUCAAAGGCUCAACCUUUGAAUGCCGAUGGAUACUGUCGAGCUAGAGUCCGGAAGAGGCGGGUGGAAUUCCUGGUGUAGCGGUGGAAUGCGCAGAUAUCAGGAGGAACACCGAUGGCGAAGGCAGGUCUCUGGGCCGAUACUGACGCUGAGGAGCGAAAGCGUGGGGAGCGAACAGG
rnacentral:rRNA from 1 species